UUCAAGGAGAUAUCGACUCAUGGAAUGAAAAAUAGGUCACAGAGGCCAGCACCAGAGAGGCUAGCAUGUUGCACCCUCUAGUGGUCACAAGGAGCACAACCUAAGAUGCAGGCAUGAUCUGAGCAAAGCUGAACCUUCAGCACCACCAGGACUCUAGGAUAUUUCACAAAAGAUCUUUUGGAUGGGUAAACUGGGCCAAGAUUUGCUACUAACACAGGGGGGUGCGCAUCAGGAGCGGGACCCCCAACAGGAGCAGUGGAUGUUCGGAAGAGGAGAGAGAGACAAGCAAUUGGCCAAAAAGGACAGGUGCUGUUCAGGUUUUUAAGUAUGCGAAGCACAGCUCAAGAAGCAUAUCAUGCGACAGAGCAGCCGCAAUUCUUCAGUGUGGUGAUCUGCGCCUCCACCACCUGAUCAAGGUACCAACCUUCCCCUGUGUUUAUGGAUUGAAUGGCAGAUAUCCCAGAUGUC